rnacentral:ncRNA from 1 species
GAUGACUGGUUUGUGGCAGCCAAGCGUUAAUAGCUAUGUUGCUUUUUGAUUGAUCCUUCAUUGUCGUCUCUUCCCGUCGUUGUGAAAUACUAGGACUCACAAAUUGUUGAAUUGUUCACCUACAAUGGCGAACAGGUGAAUUUGUUUUUUAGACCGUCAAGUGACAUGUG